AUUGCUUUUCGGCCUUUUGGCUAAGAUCAAGUGUAAUAUCUGUUCUUAUCAGUUUAAUAUCUGAUAUGUUCUCUAGAUGAGAGCGUUAUAUUAAACAGGUUUUUAUAACAGGGAGCUGGAAUAAGAGCUUGCUCUUUCUGUUCUAUGCGUUAACUCGGUAUUGUAGUACUUCCGCGAAUGGUGCCCUUGCU